rnacentral:rRNA from 1 species
UACCAGCACCCCGAGUGGUCGGGACGAUUAUUGGGCCUAAAGCAUCCGUAGCCGGUUUUACAAGUCCCCCGUUAAAUCCAGCUGCUUAACAGAUGGGCUGCGGAGGAUACUAUAAGACUAGGAGGCAGGAGAGGCAAGCGGUACUCAGUGGGUAGGGGUAAAAUCCGUUGAUCCAUUGAAGACCACCAGUGGCGAAGGCGGCUUGCCAGAAUGCGCUCGACGGUGAGGGAUGAGAGCUGGGGGAGCAAACCGG